rnacentral:misc_RNA from 1 species
AGAACAAACCUAGUACUUCCACAUUUUCUAUUCAUCUUGCAUAAAGAAAUACUGAGUGCUCAGUGAUGGACAAUAUUUUCUCUCUUGUCGUAUAUAGGUGGUGAUUGAUAUGACAUGAUGAAGACAGAUGAGAUUCCUAUGGUAUACCUGAGGGUGGUCAUUAAAUAGAGAUAGAGAGAAAUGCAGAGAAUAAUAAUGAGCCAGCAAUCAUAAACGAGAGACUACGGCUUCUAAGCAUUUGUUGAUCCACACUCAUCAAAGACAAGUAGCAGUCAACACCAAAUUAAUUGCAAAAGCUUCAUUGAUCUUGGCAAUUCUCUCUAAGGAGCUGCAACACUCAAAU